CCUACGGGUGGCAGCAGUCGAGAAUCAUUCACAAUGGGGGAAACCCUGAUGGUGCGACGCCGCGUGGGGGAAUGAAGGUCUUCGGAUUGUAAACCCCUGUCAUGUGGGAGCAAAUUAAAAAGAUAGUACCACACGAGGAAGAGACGGCUAACUCUGUGCCAGCAGCCGCGGUAAUACAGAGGUCUCAAGCGUUGUUCGGAAUCACUGGGCGUAAAGCGUGCGUAGGCUGUUUCGUAAGUCGUGGGUGAAAGGCGCGGGCUCAACCCGCGGACGGCACAUGAUACUGCGAGACUAGAGUAAUGGAGGGGGAACCGGAAUGCACGGUGUAGCAGUGAAAUGCGUAGAUAUCGAGAGGAACACUCGUGGCGAAGGCGGGUUCCUGGACAUUAACUGACGCUGAGGCACGAAGGCCAGGGGAGCGAAAGGGAUUAGAUACCCGGGUAGUC
rnacentral:rRNA from 1 species